rnacentral:piRNA from 1 species
UGAUUUCUUGUUGCCUUUUCACUUC